rnacentral:misc_RNA from 1 species
UGGAAUGAAGGUCCCACAGUUGACUCCUUCGAGAAUAAGACUUCUCUCUAUGAGCAGAACAUUUAGUAGUUCAAAAGCAAGUGACCGACUAGGAUACGCACCUAUCGUCACUCUUCAGGAGGGCAUAAGGAGGACCAUCGAAUCCUAUCCACAUCUGAGAGCUGAACACGGGUCGGGAAAGGAUGGUCCUAAAUCAUCUGCAUCUCUUAAACGGUUUUUCCUCCUGGUGAUUUUCUUUCUAUUAAUUCUAAGCGUACUUGGGAUCAUUUCACCAUGGAGUUUUUUCG